AACUUUUAACAACGGAUCUCUUGGCUCUCACAUCGAUGAAGAACGCAGCGAAAUGUGAUAAGUAAUGUGAAUUGCAGAAUUCAGUGAAUCAUCGAAUCUUUGAACGCACCUUGCGCUCCCUGGUAUUCCGAGGAGCAUGUCUGUUUGAGUGUUAUGAAAUCUUCAACCCACCUGUUUCUUGUCAAACAGAGUGGUGCUUUGGAUCAUGGGCGUCUUUGCUGGCCCCCAAGCCGGGGUUGGCUCGCCUGGAAUGCAUGAGCAGCAUCGUACCUCGACAUCUGGCUUGACUUGGCGUGAUAGGUUAUUUCGCUGGGGACAACACUUCGGGUGUUGGCCGAGUCGUGGAAAGAGGGCUACCAAUGAAAUGUACUCUAAAUAUUUGACCUCAAAUCAGAUAGGACUACCCGCUGAACUUAAGCAUAUCAAUAAGCGGAGGCU
rnacentral:misc_RNA from 1 species